CCCUUAGAUGUUCUGGGCUGCACACGUGCUACACUGGCAGGUUCAGCGAGCUUCAUGCCCUGAUCUGAAAGGAAUGGGAAAUCUUUUCAAAACCUGCCGUGCUUGGGAUAGAUGUUUGCAAUUAUUCAUCUUCAACGAGGAUUGCCUUGUAAGCGCACGUCAUCAGCGUGCAUUGAAUACGACCCUGUAUUCUGUACACACCGCCCGUCGCUCCUACCGAUUGAAGUUUUCGGUGAGUUGACAGGAGGAUUUUUUUGAAACUGGUUUGCCAGUGGAUUUUAGAUCCAAAUGCCAACGAAUCGAUGGCUUUAGAGGAAGGAGAAGUCGUAACA
rnacentral:rRNA from 1 species